UGGGCAUCGGUGCCCUCUCUGGGGUUGGAACA
rnacentral:piRNA from 1 species